CUUUGCAAUGAUUUGGCAGCACAACGGCCACCUUCUGUGCCCUAGCCGCAGUCACCAUGCUUUAGAUCGCCAGGGAUCGGAAACAUGUGUUGAUGACAAGGCUGAUCUUUAUAGGGUUUGUUGGUGUCUGGAAUUGUUGAUUCUGCCUUGAUCCGACACUGUGGCAGGAAGGUCUCUUUUCACGGCAGAUCGACACACCUAUAUUGGUUAGGUUUGGAUGGUUUGAUCACGGUGAAGGUGACAGCAAGAGACUAGAAGGUGGUUGCUUGAUUAGUGACUUCUUGCUUGAUUCGGUUGAUAUCGGUGAGGAAAGAUUUCAGCAAGAUUUUGUGUUGUGGGUUGCUCUUUGAUCCAGCAGCACCUUGGAUUCGACAGGACCUCCUUCAGGCAGUACACGUUUUGGCUGAGCUUGAGGACUUUGACGCGAGACGAAUAUCUCGACGUCGUAUUUGGACCGGAUUGGACUUUUCGAU